rnacentral:rRNA from 1 species
AGAACAACGUAAAACUCUUAUCGAUAAGCCAUUGGAGGGCAAGUCUGGUGCCAGCAGCCGCGGUAAUUCCAGCUCCAAUAGCGUAUAUUAACGUUGUUGCAGUUAAAAAGCUCGUAGUUGAAGUGAGGGAGUGUGUGAGUAUGAGAGCUCGUCUCAAGUGCUCACAACCUCCCCCUUCCAAUGGGUGUAUUGGGGUAUUCAUUUACUUCAUUACUCCUUUGGUCGUUUACUGUGAGAAAAUUAGAGUGUUCAAAGCGGGCGUUUGUUUGAAUAGAUUAGCAUGGAAUAAUGAUUGAAGGCUUUCGUGUUCGAUUUGAUUGGUUUGUUCAUGGAAGCAAGGUUAAAAGGAACAGUUGGGGGUAUUCAUAU